rnacentral:lncRNA from 1 species
AGGACGUCCGUGGCCGUCCGUUAGUACACACAGGACGUCCGUGGCUGGCCCUUCCUGUGGACUGUUCGGGUGAUUUUGGCCCACGUGGGCUGUCUGUUCAGUACGCACAGGACGUCCGUCAGCACACGCAGGACGUCCGUGCCUGUCCGUUAGCACACACAGACUGUCCGUGGACUGCCCAUCAGUACAUAUAUCAGCAUGCUGACCACACAUAUCAGCAUGCUGGUCCUUCCCAUGGACUGUCCGUGUACUGAUUUUGGACAAUUGAUGCACCAUGUCAGUACACAUAUCAGCACGCUGGCCCUUCCCGUGGACUGAUCCGUGUACUGAACUCAUAUCAGCAUGCUGGUCCUUCCCAUGGACUGUCCGUGUACUGAUUUUGGACAAUUGAUGCACCAUGUCAGUACACAUAUCAGCACGCUGGCCCUUCCCGUGGACUGAUACGUGUACUGAACUCAUAUCAGCAUGCUGGUCCAUCCCAUGGACUGACCGUGUACUGAUUUUGGACAACUGAAGCACCAUGUCAGUACACAUAUCAGCACGCUGGCCCUUCCCGUGGACUGAUCCGUGUACUGAACUCAUAUCAGCAUGCUGGUCCUUCCCAUGGACUGUCCGUGUACUGAUUUUGGACAACUGAUGCACCAUGUCAGUACACAUAUCAGCACGCUGGCCCUUCCCGUGGACUGAUCCGUGUACUGAUCUGGACAUAAGCUCGAGUUUUGAUGGACUGGACUGUCCAAGUCAGUCUGAUUGAUGCUAGCUCGACUUAUGCUGGCUUGACUUUCCAUCAUCCAACCAAGUGUUAACAUUUUCCCUUUGUUUUUAUUGUGGUAAGAUCGAGGCCAAGCGUACUGAAGGGCAAGCGUACUGAAGGGAUGAAUUAACUCUUUUGUGUUGUAAAAGAUGGGGGAAUCGUGUAUAUUAUUCAGUAAUCAAAGUGUUCCCUUAUAUAGGGGAUUACAAGAUAUGGAUAAAAGGAAAGAGUACAAAUCCUUAUCCUAAAGUAAAAAGGAAAACCUCUUAUAGAUAAACAUGAAAAGAAAAGGAAACUCCUAAACUAGAGUCGGCCUAAUCUUUGGCCGCCUCUCUCUCCUUCUUGGACGCGGUCUUGGUCUUGGGCCUGGACGCGGUCCGUUCUUCCUUGGCAUGGUUACUAGCAAUCCAAAUGUGUUUUAUAACACUUCCGCUUGGAUGCUAUAACCAUAUGGGCUCGUACCAUGCACGAUGUUGCCUCGUUAAAACCUCUCUAGGAAAACCAAAAACCCAAGGUGGGAAAAAUGGAAACCAUAGACAGGAAAAAGAGUACAACGCAUGAUACUCCCCCUGAUGAAGGCAUCACUGAAGAUCCUUCAGCCGGCGCAUCCCUAUCUGAUGAACCAGCUUCCUGAACGUUGAGGUAGGCAGAGACUUGGUGAAGAGGUCGGCUGAGUUGUCGCUUGAUCGAACUUGAACUACUUGAACCUCCUUUGCCUUCUGUAAGUCGUGGGUGAAGAAGAACUUGGGCAGGAUGUGCUUGGUCCUGUCUCCCUUGAUGUAUCCUUCCUUGAGCUGAGCAAUGCACGCUGCAUUGUCUUCGUACAUGAUCAUUGCUUCCUCCUUCUCUUGUCCCACGGCCAGACCACUCUCUCUUAAGACAUGGCCGGUCAUGUUCCUCAACCAGACAAGCUCACGGCUUGCCUCAUACAUGGCUAUGAUCUCGGCAUGAUUAGAUGAUGUGGCCACUAAGGUUUGCUUAGUAGAACGCCAGCAUAUUGCGGCUCCACUAUGUAUGAAUACAUAUCCCGUUUGAGAUCUAGCCUGGUGUGGGUCAGAUAAGUACCCAGCAUCUGCAUAUCCGACCAUGCUCUCUCUUGGCCGGUUAGUGUAGAACAAACCGAGAUCCUUUGUUCCUUGCAGAUAUCUGAACAGAUGUUUCACUCCGUUCUAGUGCCUUAAAGUCGGACAUGAACCAAAUCUAGAUAGUAAGCUCACGGCAAAGCUUAUGUCCGGUCUAGUAUGACUAGCCAAGUACAUUAAGGCCCCAAUGGCACUUAGGUAAGGCACUUCCGGUCCGAGUGCUUCCUCGUCCGGCUUCUUAGGUCCGUAUGGAUCCUUCUCAAGGUCUAAGGACCUCACGACCAUUGGACUCGACAAGGGGUGAGCCUGGUCCAUAUUAAAUUGCUUGAGUAUCUUUUCCGUAUAUGUUUCUUGGUGCACAAGGAUGCCAUUCCUUUUAUACUCAAACUGUAAUCCCAAACAGAACUUAGUUUUCCCUAAGUCUUUCAUCUCGAAUUCUUUCUUUAGACAUUCAACGGUUUGGGAAAUCUCUCCAGAGGUUCCUAUAAUAUUCGGGUCGUCCACAUAAACUGACAUGAUCACAUAGCCCUUGCUGUCGAAUUUCUUUAUGAAUAUACAUGGACUUAUUGGAUCAUUCUUAUAACCCUCUUUCACUAGGUACUCGGAUAAUCUAUUGUACCACAUUCGACCUGAUUGCUUCAAACCAUAUAAGGCUUUGUUUAACUUUAUGCAAUGUUGUUCUCGAGAACCUUUCUUGUCUUUGAGCUCAAUGCCCUCUGGGACUUUCAUAUGUAUCUCAUUAUCCAGUGGUCCGUAUAGGUAUGCAGUUACUACAUCCAUUAGGCGUAAAUCAAUGUUUUCUUUCACUGCCAGACUGAUAAGAUAUCUCAGUGUAGUUGCAUCCACCACAGGGGAGUAAGUCUCCUCAUAAUCUAUUCCAGGUCUUUGGGAGAAUCCUUGUGCUACAAGCCGUGCUUUGUAUCUCACUACUUCUCCUUUCUCGUUUCUCUUCCUUACAAAGACCCAUUUGUAUCCCACUGGUUUGACAUCUCUUGGUGUCAAUGUUAUAGGGCCAAAAACGCCUCUCUUUCUCAAUGAUUCUAACUCCACGUUUAUAGCUUCUUUCCAUUUGAUCCAAUCUGAUCUUAGCAUGCAUUCUUGUAUGGACGUGGGUUCUAGAUCCUCAUCUUUAUCCAUGAUCUCAAGUGCUACCUUGUAUGCAAAUAAAUCAUCAACGUUGAUAUCUUUUCUGUUCCAUUGUUUUCCGGACAUUACAUGGUCUAUAGAGAUCUCUUGGUUGUCUGGCUCUUGUGUCCCGUGAAGCCCAGCGUCCCGGACCUCACUAUGAGGAACGGCCUGAUCAUCGGGUGUGGCCGGUACGCUUGGCUCGACCGUCCUGGUCGGCUCGACCGGUCCAUCUAUGUCCUGGAUGGUUUCCUUUAUGCUCUCGGAUCCAGCACCUCUCUUGGACUUCCGAGGCUGUUUGUCUUUGGAACCAAUUGGUCUACCACGUUUUAAACGUUGCUUAGACUCUGUAGCCACUUGACAUUGUCCAUCUUGGACGUUUAAUCUUAUAGGUGCAUUACAAGCCGGGUUGUGUGAUAUUGUCAUUCUAUUUGGGUCAGCAAAUGUAUCUGGCAACUUAUUAGCUAGCUCUUGUAGAUGUAUAAUCUUUUGGACUUCUAGAUCACACUCUCUAGUCCGAGGAUCUUGCCAAGAUGUUGAUGGUCUAAACCAUUCUAAGUCUUUUAUAAUCAACCGGCUGUUAUCUCCCCCUAAGGACGGAUAUCUGGACUCAUCAAACUGUGAGUCUUCGUAUCUGGCCUUAAACAAAUCACCGGUUGUUGGCUCAAGAUACUUUAUAAUGCUUGGGGAAUCAUAUCCUACGUAUAUUCCCAUCCUCCUCUGUGGUCCCAUUUUAGUUCUCUGUGGUGGAGCAAUUGGAACGUAGACGACACAUCCGAAUGUCUUGAUGUGGGACACGUCUGGCUCAUGACCCGUAAGUAGUUGGGAUGGUGAAUAUCUAUGCUCACUAGAUGGCCUGAUGCGAAUCAGUUCCGAUGCAUGUAAAACCGCAUGUCCCCAUGCUGAUACCGGAAGUUGAGACUUCAUAAGCAGUGGCCGGGCUAUCAGCUGGAUACGUUUAAUGAAGGAUUCGGCCAAGCCGUUCUGUGUAUGGACAUGUGCCACGGAGUGCUCUAUUCUUACCCCCAUGGACAUACAAUAUUCAUUAAACGCUUGGGACGUGAACUCACCAGCAUUUUCUAGACGUAUAGUCUUAAGAGGGAAAUCUGGAAAGUGUGCUCUCAGCCUUAUCAUCUGAGCAAGCAGCCGUGCAAAGGCUAGGUUCCUAGUGGAUAGUAGACACACAUGCGACCAUCUGGUCGAUGCAUCAUUGAGGACCAUGAAGUAUCUAAACGUCCCACAAGGUGGGUGUAUUGGUCCACAUAUGUCUCCUUGAAUCCUUUCCAGAAAGUUUAAGGUUUCUUUGUUAACCUUGGCUGGUGAUGGCCUAGUCAUGAGUUUCCCUUGUGCACAUGCUGCACAUGUGAGAUUUUUAUAUGGGAUCACUCCUUUAAUCAUGUGCCCUUGUGAAUUCAUUAUCAAUUUUCGCAUCAUACUUGUUCCGGGAUGGCCAAGCCGGUUAUGCCAUAAAGUGAAUAGCUCGGAGGCAUUUGCCUCGACCAUACUGAUCCUUGCAUAGUAUAGACCAGUAGACAUUGCGGGUAUAGUCUCUAGGAUCUUCUUAUUUCCUUUGGUGAUCGAAAUUAUGUUAAGGAACUCUUUGUUUCCUUCUUCCCAUGUUUCAAGAUGGAAACCAUUCAAUCUUAUAUCCUUGAAACUCAAUAGGCUCCUUCUAGAGCUUGGAGAAUACAAGGCGGUUUUGAUCUCUAGGUGAGUGCCCUUAGGCAUCAAUACAUAGGCUUGGCCGUGACCUUCAAUCAGGCUAGCCUCACCCGCAAUGGUGUGUACCUUUGCACUUUGCAUUGUGAGAUUUAUAAAGUACCUUUUGUCUCUAAGUAUUGUGUGACUUGUGCCACUAUCCACCACAAGUACACUCAUCAUUCAUUCUAUAAAUAAAAUUUUAUAAACUUUAGAGACUUCAUAAGAUGUUUAAAACUCUUAUUAUUAAAAUGCCAUUACAUAAAAUAAAAACACCAAAUCAAAAACAUAAAGCAAUAAGACAAUGUGAUUCGAAAACUAGUCCUUGAGACAAUCGGAUGUCUCAAAAUCCAUUAGGUCAUCUUGGUUGUCCUUGUCGGAUUCAUUGUCAGCAUCAUACCCAUAUCCCUUGUCCUCAUGGACGUUUUCUUGGAUCAUGUUUGCCUCCGGAUUCUCGUUCUUGAGGCUCUCUUGGUAGAGGUUGCACAAGUGUUUCGGAGUUCUACAGUUCUUAGCCCAAUGGUUGUCACUCCCGCAUCUGUGGCAUACAGACUUGUUGGACGUGUAAGAUGGUUUGGAUAUGCCACCUCGUCCGCGGCCGUAGCUGCCUCGACCCCGGCCGUAAUUGGAACCACGACCACGGUUAUUGUGGUUUCCUUUCCGGCCAGUUGAGUAGCCGUCUCGGCCGUUUGAGUUGUCAUGUCCACGCCUCUUGAAUCCACCACGGCUAUUGCCGUAUGGUUUCUUGUUGUCUUGGAAGAAAUAGGUCUCAUUGGGAUCUUUCUUUUCAACCUCAUGGGCUUCGGGUAGUGGUGCUGUCCCGGCCGGUCUAACUCCAUUACUCUUUAGUAGGAGUUCAUUGUUUGCCUCGGCCAAGAGUAGACAUGAGAUCAGAUCAGUAUAUGUGGCAAAGCCCUUUGUCCUGUAUUUCUCUUGCAACACAGAAUUCGACUGAUUGAAAGUCGUAUAGGUCUUUUCAAGCAUCAUGCUAUCGGUUACUUCUUCACCACAAAGCUUUAGUAUUGAGACAAUCUUGAAUAGAGCUGAGUUGUAAUCAUCCACUGACUUAUAGUCUAAGAAUCUUAGAUGCAUCCAAUCGUGCCUUGCCUUUGGAAGCAACACCAUCCUGUGGUGAUCAUAUCUAUUCUUUAAAGCUUUCCAAAGAUCUAGUGGAUUCUCAAUUGUCAUGUACUGAUCUUUAAGACCAUCAAUGAGAUGAUGACGCAUAAGGCCUAAGGCUCUGUAUCGGUUCUUUUCAUUCUCAUUGUUGUCUUCGGUGAUAGUAUCACCGAGUCCCUUGGACUUUAGACUAAUCCUUGUGUCUAGUGCCCACUGCAAGUAAUUGUCUCCGCAGAGAUUAAGGGCUGCAUAGUCUCUGUUUGCUAUUUUCGACAUCUGAAUCAUAUUAUCAUAUAAGGUAUUAGGUUCACAAUAUGAUCACGUGGCCGCAUGAUAUAAGCAAGCUCGGCCAAAACAUGUCUUACGCAUUUAUGAUGUUCAAAACAAUUCUAAACGACCAUGGUGCUAUCAAUCAUGAACCACACGGUUCUAUAGGUUUUCUAACAACCUAAACUCGUAUGAUCUAUAUGCUGGUCGAUCUUGUUUCAAUUAAUUAUGAAUGCAAUACAAUGUUCGGAUUCAUGUAAAGCAAUCUACCUUAUCUUACUUCUUUUCAUAACACCUAGGGUUUCCAAUCUUUGAAUUCUUUAUCAACCUUAUGUUAAGGUUUCAAGGCCUUAAGUAUUUUGUGUUCUUAGUUAGAUUAUUUCGAAAAGAACAAUCUAACAUUCCUAAACCUCAAAUCAAAGCAAGCAAUCAAUCAAGCAAUAUCAACUUAAAAUCGGAUUCUAGCUUUAGGGUUUAGGGUUUCGAUUCCUUCAUUAGGGUUUGUCAGGUUUCAGAUUUAAUCAAUCAACAUACAAACAAGUUCUAGUUUGGAAUCGUUUAGCUUUCUAGUUUUAAGACUUUGUCGAUUUUAAUCUUCUAGUUGCUUUUAGAGUUUCAUCAAGAAUAAGAUUUCCAUAAUGAUGGAUUAGGGUUUUCAUCUUAUUCUAUGUUCUCAGAUUAUGUUCAUACCUUUGUUUUGUAGAGGUAUAGAACCGGACCUCCCGAGAAUGGAUGAAACUUCGAGCUGAGGAGAAAGAACGCUUGCUGCCUCCUAUCGGGUCGCGGAUGUAGUCGGACGCGAGCUGGGGACGGACGCGAGCUGCGAGCUGUUUGCUGGACGGAUGCGUUCUUCUCGUGUGCGAGCUGAGUACGCGAUCAGGAAACUGAGGACGUUCGGUCUUGAGGAUGUCAAGCUUUUAGAACAAUGGAGAACGUCUAGGGUUUUUGCUUUGAGUCGCCGGUUAUAGGCUUUUAGGUAUCGAUUUAGGUCUAAGGGAUUUAGAGGCUAUCGUGCUGAUAACGUGUUGUAAAAGAUGGGGGAAUCGUGUAUAUUAUUCAGUAAUCAAAGUGUUCCCUUAUAUAGGGGAUUACAAGAUAUGGAUAAAAGGAAAGAGUACAAAUCCUUAUCCUAAAGUAAAAAGGAAAACCUCUUAUAGAUAAACAUGAAGAGAAAAGGAAACUCCUAAACUAGAGUCGGCCUAAUCUUUGGCCGCCUCUCUCUCCUUCUUGGACGCGGUCUUGGUCUUGGGCCUGGACGCGGUCCGUUCUUCCUUGGCAUGGUUACUAGCAAUCCACAUGUGUUUUAUAACAUUUUGGGUUUUAAUGCUCCCGUCAGGAUGCUUUUGGCCGAGACUUGUGCACAUGCGGGCUGCAUUUCAUCGGCCAAUCUGAAAUAUUAUGGCGAGACUGAUUUUCACCAAGUAAAAAUCUCGAACCUCCGACGGGAUCUUCUUAUAUACUUGAAUUUUUUUGGGUUUUUUGUUUUUUAACGUUUUGGGGAGGAACAUGUGAUUGGAAAGGGGGAGGGUCGAAUCUUAGCGACAAAGGGCUGAAUCUCAGUGGAUCGUGGCAGCAAGGCCACUCUGCCACUUACAAUACCCCGUCGCGUAUUUAAGUCGUCUGCAAAGGAUUCUACCCGCCGCUCGGUGGUAAUUAUAAUUCAAGGCGGUCCGAACGGCGCUUCCGCCGAACGGACUUAGCCAACGACACGUGCCUUUGGGAGCCGAAGCUCCUACUGAGGGUCGGCAAUCGGGCGGCGGGCGCAUGCGUCGCUUCUAGCCCGGAUUCUGACUUAGAGGCGUUCAGUCAUAAUCCAGCGCACGGUAGCUUCGCGCCACUGGCUUUUCAACCAAGCGCGAUGACCAAUUGUGCGAAUCAACGGUUCCUCUCGUACUAGGUUGAAUUACUAUUGCGACGCGGGCAUCAGUAGGGUAAAACUAACC